GUAGAGCCUAAUUUCUAGAAUUUGAAAGAGAGUUGUUAUGUGAAUUUUUUAUCAGUACAGAUUACUUCACAACUUUUGCUUCGUUGUUGAAGUGUUAUGUAAAGAGAAUACUUAUAUUCUUUCAGCUUAUAUAUAUAAUUGCUAUUACUUGCUGGGCACUCAAAUGCUCAUCCUUGCUUAAAUUAAAUGUUUUCAGUUAUGUAUGAGCAACCUGAAGGCUCAGGCACAAACAAAGGAAAAGGAAAGCUGAUCGAAUAAGUGUGUAUUAUGAGUUAAUGGUUAUAGUUGUAUUGGUAUCUAUUCAAGUAUUGUAAGGAAUGUAUUUGAAGGUCUCGUACCUGGG
rnacentral:lncRNA from 1 species